rnacentral:rRNA from 1 species
GAGUUUGAUCAUGGCUCAGAUUGAACGCUGGCGGUAGGCUUAACACAUGCAAGUCGUGCGAGAAAGUAUCUUCGGAUAUGAGUAGAGCGGCGGACGGGUGAGUAACGCGUAGGAAUCUACCUAGUAGAAGGGGAUAGCCCGGGGAAACCCGGAUUAAUACCGUAUACCUCCUUCGGGAGAAAGAAGGCCUCUCUUUGAAGCUUUCGCUAUUAGAUGAGCCUGCGUAAGAUUAGCUUGUUGGUGAGGUAAAGGCUCACCAAGGCGACGAUCUUUAGCUGGUCUGAGAGGACGAUCAGCCACAUUGGGACUGAGACACGGCCCAGACUCCUACGGGAGGCAGCAGUGGGGAAUAUUGGACAAUGGGCGCAAGCCUGAUCCAGCCAUACCGCGUGUGUGAAGAAGGCCUUCGGGUUGUAAAGCACUUUAAGCAGGGAGAAAAAGUUAUAAGAUAAUACCUUAUAACCGUGAUGUUACCUGCAGAAUAAGCACCGGCUAAUUCCGUGCCAGCAGCCGCGGUAAUACGGAAGGUGCAAGCGUUAAUCGGAAUUACUGGGCGUAAAGCGCGCGUAGGUGGUUUGUUAAGUUGGAUGUGAAAGCCCUGGGCUCAACCUAGGAACUGCAUCCAAAACUAACUCACUAGAGUACGAUAGAGGGAGGUAGAAUUCAUAGUGUAGCGGUGGAAUGCGUAGAUAUUAUGAAGAAUACCAGUGGCGAAGGCGGCCUCCUGGAUCUGUACUGACACUGAGGUGCGAAAGCGUGGGUAGCGAACAGGAUUAGAUACCCUGGUAGUCCACGCCGUAAACGAUGACAACUAGCUGUUGGAAGACAACGUCUUUCAGUGG